rnacentral:misc_RNA from 1 species
UUUCCCAACCCUGUCAGAUGUCUGGGAAGUUUUCCUUUCCAUACCUCAUUCGUAUUUAUUUCAUCGUAGGAUUCAGAUCUAUUGGUAGAAAGUAAGAAAAAAAAAAAAAAUUCUCAAAAUUUAAGUUCUAUACAAAUUUGGAGUGAACUAUUUUAUAAACACUUUCGGAAUAUCUCGAGCUUUCCACACAUCGAAAAUGAAUUUUUGCUCAGUGCCUUACGAAGCUGAUUACGGCAUGUACGCCGAUUCCAAGAUGAAGAGCGUUCCCCAGUACCCCCUAAGCAUGGGAGUCGGUCAGGGUCAAGGACAGUCCAUGGCCAUGCAGCCCCUGAAUCCACCGCAGAUGAAUCUGCAGAUGCAGAUGCCCGUGUGCCAGCCGGGCGCUUCGUCGUACCCAAUGCAGGGUAUGCCGCUGGGCAUGAUGCAAGGGGGCAAUCAGAUGACCCCCAUGUCGACGAUGAGCACCCAGCUGCCGAUUGGAGCGGUGACUCCCCUGAACAGCAUGACCAUGAUGCCCAUGAUGGGCAAUCCCAUGGGCGCCAUCGAUGCCCCCGGGAUCAAUGCAGUGCUGCCUGACCUGCAGCCGAUGACCUCGAUGGGUCAGAUGCAGCCGCUGCAGCAGUACAAUCCCAGUGGAUCUACCACCCAAAUGCAUCAAGGACGUCUGACGGGCGGCUGCAAUGCUGUGAUGUCUGCGCCCUGUCCCUCGUCGCCCUCGCACGCUGGCGGCUGGAACUCCAGUCCCAGCUCCAAUCAGAUGAUGAACAACUCCAAUAUGUGGCAAUACAGUCAGCCUAUGCAGAGUCACCAGCCGCAGUACCAGCAGCAGCAGCAGCAGCAACAGCAGCAGCACUUCCAGCAGCCGAGCCAGGGACACCAACAGGUUAGCCGGAUGAAGACCUCCUACGAUGCUCCCAUGUACCGGGAUAUGCGGAACGGUCUGAACAAUCCCUUUUAAUCUCUAACCCUUAGCGCACCAUCCAUGCACGACUCCUCGAAGUACAGCAAAGGCAAUCAAUCAUUCAAUUGUGGAAAAGCGGUUACAAAGGUCCCCCAUUGGCGUUGACGAAACCGUUGAGCCCAUCAUUAGUUGUUUUUGUACUUUUGCAUGAUUGGUGUCUCUUUAUUUACUUGUUCCAAGACUUCCCCUACGCAAGCAAACAGAUACUUAAACACACAAGAAACACAGACUUGGCCACAGACAUAUUGGUGUGGAAUAAAUAGUUUAUAUGUUAUGGCCAAAAUGGAA